CGUAGGAGUAGUGUAACGUGCGGUCGUCCCGCGGCGGUCGCGGUUAUAUACAACAAAAUGCCGCCCACGUAAUAACGAUAUUAUAUGUAUAAUAUAUGAACUGUUAAACGGAGUGUUGUUCGGCCGCGUCAGUGGUGCAGGACACGUCGGCGUCCGAGUUCGUGUCGUCGACGACGGACUUACUCGCUCAAGUCGCGGAUAAUAAACAAUAAUGAUAUCGCGUCUGUGUCGCCGUUUUAUAUAUUUCUCGUAUGCGAAAAUUGUUGUGAAAAUGUGAAAUCGCUCCGAUGGUGACUUACUACCGUGUAACCUCGGUAUCGCGUGCUGUCUGCAGUGGACGACGCAAACGACCGCGACCGAAAUCGACGAAACGGUUUAUUCCGCUCGUAUUAUAAUGAUUGCGUGCGCAAAUAUAUAGGUACCUAUAUGUGUCGAAACUUGUGUAAUUCUCAUAAUAUAAUAUAUUAUAGUGCGAGUGUGUAAAAGGUCACUGGUGAACACACUGACCUACAACGACGUCUUGCCGUACACUUAUAUGUGCGUUAUCCGUACAAAUUUUUUGAUUUUUUUUUCUUUUUUUUUACGUGCGAAAACGAAAAGAACAAUCUAUUUACCUAUACCACGUCGAAGGAAUAUCGCUUGCAAGCGUACAUUAAAUUAUGUAAGACUCGUGUAUUACUCGCAUCAUAAGGCCGAGUACCUACUAUUGCAUUUGUUAUAAGACGGGUGCGAUGUCGUCCAAGGCUAUCGGUUAUAUAAGAAACAGUAAUUGAAAGAACGCUUCAAUUUUUAUUUCUCAUCCCCAACGCUCUUUCUAAAAAAAAAAAAAUUACGUAACGCGUUCAACGAGACGUGUACACCGAUGAAUCGUUGUUUCAAGUUUUUUAAUAUAUAAUACCGCCUCAUAUAAUUGCAAUGAAACCUAACUCAAAUCGCGGCUGGAUUAUGGUUGAAAAAGUAAUAAUGUGCGAGAAGUCCUCUCCAACCAUCCGCGAUGGCACCGACCGCAAAACAAAUUUGAUGUCUAUAGCUGAAGCGUUAGUCUUAUUACAACUGUUGAGACCGAUAAUAAUAAUAUUUAGAAUAAUAUUUCAAUACAAUACGAACGUCAUAUUGUUCUGACAUAAGCCGAGCGGCCGUUCAAGAAGACGCAGUGAUCGCGUUGAGGUAUGCAGACCGAGACAGAUAUCACGAGAAUUGAAUACUAUCAUUCACAUAUAUAUUGAACAAUUGAACAUUACUAACGAUUGGUCUUCACUAAGAAUUUAUAUCCGUGACAACAAGCAAAAUGCAAAUAUAUCUAAGGAAGUAUAAGCGUAUCUACAACAUUGUGUUUUAUUUUUAAUAUAUUAUAAUAUUGUAUUUUAUUCUAUUAUGUCCAAAAACGAUUUUGAAUCCAACGUUUUACUUUUACAAAUAUUGAUCACCGUCUGCCCGACUUUUAACCAGUUAUAUACAUUAUGUUCAGUCUCGUCUCUUUAUAAUUUAUAAAAGAUUAAAGGCGAAUUUGUGCUUUUUACUGAGGGGUAUAUUGAUGCUCCUUCUCUGCUCUACUAAUUAAAUUUUAAAGUCCCUUCCUGUUUCACACGUUCCCUUGUUCUUUUUAAUGUACCUACUCGUCCACAUUACUUAUUACGGUCGGAACCAUCUCAUUCGAAGAAUGAUUGUUAACGUUUUUAAUGAGCAAACCC